rnacentral:misc_RNA from 1 species
GUGAGUCAUCGAAUCUUUGAACGCACAUUGCACCUUUUGGUAUUCCGAAAGGUAUGCUUGUUCGAGCGUCGUUUAAACUAUAUCAAUUUAAUUAUUGAAUGUAUUGAGUGCUUAAUUUCUCUUGUUGGACUUCAAACCCCCUCGAGACACUCCAAAACGAUUGAGCGAUCUUGACUAGAUUUAAUUGACGCAUUAAAAUUUUAUUAUUAUCGUCAGUAGAAGAAGUCAUUGGAUUUGCCAAUAAAAACAGAUCUAUUUUAUCUUUUGGUAAAGUAGAUCGCCCCCCUUUUUAUUAUCGAC